GUUUUAAUAUUCAACUUAGUUGGGGUGAAACAUUUUUUUUUUAUUUUUAGCAUAAUGAGUAGAAUAAGUAAUUUUGUCUUUUGGUCUACUGUAAUAGUAUUAUUGUCGUUGUCAUUCGUAUCGUGUGACAUUGCCACCAACUCCAUAACCAGAAAAUCCAAUAGUCUCCCAAAAAGCAAUCCAGUAGCAAUCAUAGAUUCUCUAAGAAGACAGAUCGAAUACAAAGAGAAGGAACUACAAAGAGCAGAAAAAGCGAAUAAGAAUUUCGAGAAAAUGAUGGAACUGGUUAAUAUUCUUGGACAAGUCGACACAUUUUUGACCGAUCGUACACGAGCUAUCAUUAAGAAAUUGGCCGUUUUGACAGAAGAUGGAAACGAUAUUAUCGUUGCUAAAACAACUAAUAAAAUAUAAGAAUAAAUAAAACAACGAGAUUUGGUACGUUAGAAUAUGACAUAAAUUGGGAUUGAUUGUCAUAUUCAAUUGUUUUCUAUCACUUCCGGUUUCGUCGGAAAAACAGUUCAAAAUUUGAAUAGGAUUUCCUAUCUUUCUAACGAUGAUGCACUACCCGGUAUAUUAAACUUUAAAAUACAUAAACAAUAUUAAAGUGUUCAUUUUCUUCGUGCCAGUU